GCAUUGGUGGAUCUGUGGUAGAAUUCUCACCUUCCAUGGCAGAGACUUGGGUUGGAUUCCCAGCCAAUGUA
rnacentral:tRNA from 1 species